CUACUGGGGUAUCUAAUCCUGUUUGCUCCCCACGCUUUCGAGCCUCAACGUCAGUUACUGUCCAGUAAGCCGCCUUCGCCACUGGUGUUCCUCCUAAUAUCUACGCAUUUCACCGCUACACUAGGAAUUCCGCUUACCUCUCCAGCACUCCAGUCAAACAGUUUCAAAAGCAGUCCCGGGGUUGAGCCCCAGCCUUUCACUUCUGACUUGCUUGACCGUCUACGCUCCCUUUACACCCAGUAAAUCCGGAUAACGCUUGCCCCCUACGUAUUACCGCGGCUGCUGGCAC
rnacentral:rRNA from 1 species